GUAACCUAAGGUAAACAAAAGUGA
rnacentral:siRNA from 1 species